GUGGGAGCGGGCUUGCUCGCGAAUGCGGUGUGUCAGUCGACAUCUCUAUUGACUGACACACCGCAUUCGCGAGCAAGCCCGCUCCCAC
rnacentral:antisense_RNA from 1 species